rnacentral:rRNA from 1 species
CCCUUAGAUGUUCUGGGCCGCACACGCGCUACACUGAAGGAGGCAGCGUGUACUCCUGGAUCGAAAGAUUUGGGUAACCCGCGAAUCUCCUUCGUGCUAGGGAUUGAGGUUUGCAAUUAUCCUUCAUGAACGAGGAAUUCCCAGUAAGUGCAAGUCAUAAGCUUGCGCUGACUACGUCCCUGCCCUUUGUACACACCGCCCGUCGCUACUACCGAUUGAAUGGUCCGGUGAAAUCUCGGGACGGCGGCUUGGUCGCUUGCGUCCGACUGCUGAAACUUGAUUAAACCAUAUCAUUUAGAGGAAGGUGAAGUCGUANCA